CCAAGGCUGGCAGAUGGGGGUGGGGGAUGGGGCAGGACACCAACAUGCGAAACACCCACCAACAGCUGAUCAGGACUACUUCGGGGAGACCAGGGCGGGACACGCGGCUCCAGGCUCCAGUGACGACCACAGGGCUGCUCAAGUUUCUGUCGGACAUCCCCCAGGCUGAGCAGGGGAGGCUUGGGAGCGGUGAUGGUGUAAUUCAGGGCCAGCAGCCGAGGUCUCGGAGUGCUGGGCAGACGGCAAAGAAGGACCGGAGACCCAAGGUCCGGAACAAGAAAGGGCAUAGCCCUGCUGAGGCUGAAGAUCUCAUCCCUUCUGCUCCUCGGAAACCCUCCUUUCCCUUCCAGUGGGCCUGGGAGAGCUUCCUCACUGAUGGUCGGGCCCUGCUUCAGCCUGGCCACCAAGCCCUGCCCUUGCCCCGAGCCGUCACCCAGCACAAGGCCAGGCUCAAGUCCACAGCCACCCUCCCAGAUGCCCACGGCUUCUGCUGGAAGACAGAGGUGCCAAACCUGGAGAGGAGCCAGCAGCUCAGGGCCUGGGAUGGCAUCCCUACCCCUUCUGGCAAAGGGGGGAGCCAGGAACUGGAGGCUCCCAGUGAGUGUGACCUCCAGCCACCUGGGAAGAGGUCAGGCUCAGGAUCAGAGUCUGAGGAGGGCGCUGAGCCGGAAGCCCUGGGUGCUGAGGAGGUCGAGAGGGGUAUGAGCCCUGGAGAAAUGUCCCAGCUCCUCAAGAGGGGGUCGAUCUGGGAAGAGGAGCGGUUUGCAGGGGUGACAGAGGAAGCUGAGGAGGGGGAGCACAGGGCCCCCCAUAGAAGGAGGGCUGGUUCGCAGAGAAAAGGGAAGAACUCUGGCAAGGAGGCCUUGGAUGAGGGUGACCUACAGUGCAAGGCGAGCAGCUCCAACCUUCGAGGGCCGCAGACGAGGAAGUCAAGGGCCAAGGAGCUGGAGAAGCUGCAGAGGCAGUUACAGCAAGAGUUGGACUGCGGCGCUGAAAAGCAGCCCUGGAAGGCUUUGCGGGCUGCUGUGCAGGCCUCCAACCGGAGUGGGAAGACCUAUGCCUUGGGAGAUGAAGAGACUUUCCAGUUUACCAACUUUCCUAACCGUACCUUCCACAAACGACAGGAGGCCACCAGAAGCCUGUUGCAGGCCUGGGAGCGGCAGCAGCAGGAGGAGUCGCAGCGGGCCGAGCUGCGGAGGGCCCGGGAGCAGCGGGUACAGCAGCAGGUGGCUCGCUGCCUGGCGGCCUAUGCGCCCGGAGGGAGCCGGGGGCCGGGCGCCACCCAGUGCAAGCUGGAGGAGCUGAGGCCACUCGGCCGCGCUUUACCCAUGAAGACACUGAGGCACUGGCGGAGGAGGAGCUGAGGCGAGGUCACCGGCUAAUAAGACCGAUCCCUGCAGCUGGCAAAAGUUCACGGUUAAAAUGUUCUGCCCGCAUUCCCACUCGUUCUGAUCUUUUCCGAUUGCAAAAGCCAGGGAUGCUUCUUGCAAAAAAAACUCCGACAUUACCGGAAUAGUUAACAUGGCACUUUGUAAAGCGAGCCUGGGAUCUCACUCCUGGGGACAACCGUUCUUUGCCAUCAGGUGAAGAGUCAUCUGUUUCACUCUCUCCCUAUAUUUUCACGCUUAAAAAGAAACGGGCAAAUGUGUAUUUAAAAGUUUUUUAGACUCACAACAGGACCAUGAAGUGGGCAUUAGCAUCAGAACGAUAAUUCGACAGAGGAGGAAACUGAGCUCAGAGAGCUUAAAUAAUUGGCCAAAGGUCACAAGUGAGCUGCGAAGCUGGGAUUCCAACGUGGGCAGCCAUUGAGUCGCGCUGCUACGUGGUCCCGGAGGGCUCGGAUACCCAAUCUGCGGAUAAACGGCGCCAGGAUGGUCCCCCCAAAGCCCUACCUAGUGAAACAGACAUCACAAAUAAAUAUGGCCACCAGGGCCAUUGACAUUGAGCACCUACUGGGUGCACCUGGCAGCAGGGUAGAUCUUUCCACAACUCAUCUCCUUUCAUCCUGGGAGAAGGGCUAGGUCAAGGUUGAGUGGAGUGCUGCGGAGAGACCCGAAGGUCUCUGUCCUGCAGCGGCCCACCAAGGAUUCAGUGGGGUUCUGAUCACGUACUCUUUGAGGCUCAGUCUUAUCAUCCCCAGUUUCGAAGAUGAGGAAACCAGGACUCUAAGAAGUCAAGGGUGUUUUAAAGGAAUCCUUGGCCAGUGAUGGAGGAGAUGCCUUCUCCACGCCAGACCUCAAGUUCAUUGUUUUUUAAAUAAGGCAGGAAGCCUAAAGUUCAGAACUCCAAGGGACGGAUGUCAGUGAGAGGAGUGUUUCCCACACACCUUUUAUUUUCUACUUGAGAGCAGAUAUGUGCCACGGGCUCUCUCAGCCCUUAUAGCCCGUGAAGUUUGCUCUCUCCGAGCCGCAAAGACUCUGCCCUGCGCAGGAGACGCUGGCUCAACUAAGGUCACCCAGUGGUAGGGAGGCUAUGUGACUUCCUUUCCUUCCCAGAUGCUGGACAGGGCUGACAUCCACUCACAGGCUUCCUUUCUGCCUGGGGCUCCGAGAUGUGGACUGCCUCUCCAUUCUAACGAACAGCCUCAAGAAUCAAGCAGGAAAAACAUGCAAGACCUCAUAGGCGACACAGAGACCAAACGCAAGCUGGCGCUCCCCACCCCCGCCUUCUGUAGCUGCUGAAAUGACCUCUUGAAUGCCGAAGACUCCAUCUUGCAAUAACUCCUGUUCCUGGCCAAGGGUUUUCAAAUUCAUCUCUUCUUCUCGAAUGGAGGAAGCUUCCUUCCCUGGCACAUAGCCAAAGAUCCUGGCCGGCACAUUUGCUAGAGGUCCCGAAUGGGUCCUGGGGUCUUGUCUGCUUCUCCCCUCCCGUCCUGUGUGUGGGUGCUGCCACCAAUUCCCGAGACCUCUCCUGCGUGCUUCGCAGGAUUCCUGGUCUCGGGUGUUAGUACAGCCAGGGGGCCCCUCCUGCUGCCAGGAUACCCGGCUUGAAGAGCAGACACAUUUCAGACAAGUGCACAGACUGGGUUUUUGUAAGUGGAUUUGUGCUUCCCCAGUGCAAUCCUGAUAUUUUCGGGAUGCAGUCUGUCAUCUGCAACAUGUUUCUUUUGUUCCUCCCUCCCAUUUUCCAAGCCGCGUGCUUAUAAAAACCACAGAGAAUGGGGGCAAGCUUGUGUAAUCCCUGCCAUAGCACAGAGGAAACUGAACCCAGAGCCCAGACUGGGGCCUUGCCCAAAGCCACAGCCAACAGCCACCGCUUCUUCCUCACAGGUGCAGUGUGAAGGGGCGCAGAGGUGUAAACGCAGGGAGGGGAGAGGCCCUGCAAGCUGAUGCCCAGUUGCUCCGAAGCCGGAGCUGGUCCCUCCGCCUGGGGGUGGCUGGGAUGCUAGAUGAGCUCCCGGCUGCGCAGCCUGCAGACUUGGGCUCGGGGCUCGGUCUCUCACUUCCCAGCUGUGCGACCUUGGACAAGUCCCUCAACCCCCCCUGGGCCUCGGGCUCAUCAUGGGUAAAAUGGAGCAAAUAAUUUCCACCCCACUGACCUCAGGAGGAACCCGGGGCGAGGCUGGGAAUGAAAUGGCUUUGCAAGGCGCCAAGAGCGACAGCGCUUUGCUCAGUACCAGGCAGAGCUGCAGGGCAUUCAGCACAGGGUGCAGGCCCGGCCCUACCUGUUCCAGCAGGCCAUGCAGGCCAAUGCCCGGCUCACGGUGACCCGGC